GCCCUGAUUCUCUAGUUAAUAACUUAGACACAUGCCGGCCUGGGGACAGAAGGUGCUAGAACAGAGCAAAGGAAAUCCAGAUGGGCUAUUUCCAUUUGUGCUGGGGCCUGUCUCUACACCUCUGCCACCUUU